rnacentral:rRNA from 1 species
UACGUAGGGUGCGAGCGUUUAAUCGGAAUUACUGGGCGUAAAGCGUGCGCAGGCGGUUCGUUGUGUCGGCGGUGAAAGCCCCGGGCUUAACCUGGGAACGGCCGUUGAAACUGGCGAACUGGAGUGUGGCAGAGGGGGGUGGAAUUCCGCGUGUAGCAGUGAAAUGCGUAGAGAUGCGGAGGAACACCGAUGGCGAAGGCAGCCCCCCUGGGCUAACACUGACGCUCAGGCACGAAAGCGUGGGGAGCAAACAGG